UCCGUAGGUGAACCUGCGGUUGGAUCAUUAAUAAAUCUAGAAGGUCUUCAAGACCUCUCUAACAUCUUGUGAAUCGUUUAUGUCUCUGGCAGGCUGGGUGGCAACACUUUAGGCUGCCGAGUAAACUUUGUAUUUUUCUUUUGUCUAAAAAACUAUAAAAGUAAUUAAAACAACUUUUGACAACGGAUCUCUAGGCUCUCGCAACGAUGAAGAACGCAGCGAAAUGCGAUAAGUAAUGUGAAUUGCAGAAUUCCGUGAAUCAUUAAAUCUUUGAACGCACAUUGCGCCUUUUGGUAUUCCUCAAGGCAUGCCUGUUCGAGAAUCAGUUUAAUCAUCAAACCUUUUUUGGAAACAAAAUAUGUUUGGACUUGGGACUACUCGAAAGAGAGACCUUAAUUACAUUUGUUGCUAAUCUCUGGCGAGAUUAUAUGAACGGCAUGACCAUUGAACGCAAGUUCUUAUGAUUGCAACUAGUAUCUUUUCGCUUUUGAGGACGUACAGAAUCUUACACGAAGGAUUAACAUCCUUUAAGACUUGAUCUCGAAUCAGACAAGGACUACCGGCUGGAACCUUAAGGCAUAUCAAUAAGGCGGGAGGGAAGGUCGGACUGGCCAAGGGGCACACAGGGGGGGGAUA
rnacentral:rRNA from 1 species